rnacentral:rRNA from 1 species
AUUGAACGCUGGCGGCAUGCCUAACACAUGCAAGUCGAACGGUAACAGCAAAAUGCUUGCAUUUUGGCUGACGAGUGGCGAACGGGUGAGUAACGCGUAGGAAUCUACCCUAAAGCGGGGGACAACUCGGGGAAACCCGAGCUAAUACCGCAUAUUCCCUCCGGGGGAAAGUGGACCUCUGUUUACAAGUUCACGCUUUAGGAAGAGCCUGCGUCUGAUUAGCUUGUUGGUGGGGUAAAAGCCUACCAAGGCGACGAUCGGUAGCUGGUCUGAGAGGACGAUCAGCCACACUGGGACUGAGAUACGGCCCAGACUCCUACGGGAGGCAGCAGUGGGGAAUAUUGGACAAUGGGGGCAACCCUGAUCCAGCAAUGCCGCGUGUGUGAAGAAGGCCUGUGGGUUGUAAAGCACUUUCGAUAGGGAAGAGAGUUUUCGGGUUAAUACCCCGUAAAGCAAGACGUUACCUAUAGAAGAAGCACCGGCUAACUCUGUG